AUUGAGCGCUGGCGGCAGGCCUAACACAUGCAAGUCGAGCGGAUGAAGGGAGCUUGCUCCUGGAUUCAGCGGCGGACGGGUGAGUAAUGCCUAGGAGUCUGCCUGGUCGUGGGGGAUAACGUCCGGAAACGGGCGCUAAUACCGCAUACGUCGUGAGGGAGAAAGUGGGGGAUCUUCGGACCUCACGCUAUCAGAUGAGCCUAGGUCGGAUUAGCUAGUUGGUGGGGUAAAGGCCUACCGAGGCGACGAUCCGUAACUGGUCUGAGAGGAUGAUCAGUCACACUGGAACUGAGACACGGUCCAGACUCCUACGGGAGGCAGCAGUGGGGAAUAUUGGACAAUGGGCGAAAGCCUGAUCCAGCCAUGCCGCGUGUGUGAAGAAGGUCUUCGGAUUGUAAAGCACUUUAAGUUGGGAGGAAGGGCAGUAAGUUAAUACCUUGCUGUUUUGACGUUACCAACAGAAUAAGCACCGGCUAACUUCGUG
rnacentral:rRNA from 1 species